GUCUUCUCACUUCUUUCUCCUCUUCUAUUCGUCUCAUAUUCAGAUUCACCCGCGAUCUCUCUCUAUUCUUCUCCAUUUUUUCCCCUUCCCUCUUCGAUCCAAAACGAAAACCUAGAUUUCUAGGGUUUUACCCUCCUCGAUCGCAAAAAUGCCUCUCAGACUUGAAAUUAAGAGGAAACUUGCUCAAAGGUCGGAGAGAGUGAAGUCGGUAGAUCUACAUCCAACAGAGCCAUGGAUUUUAGCGAGUCUUUACUCUGGGAGUGUUUGCAUCUGGGAUUACCAAACACAGACUAUGGCAAAGUCAUUUGAGGUCACUGAACUGCCAGUACGCUCAGCAAAAUUUAUUGCACGCAAACAGUGGGUUGUCGCUGGAGCAGAUGAUAUGUUCAUUCGUGUUUACAAUUAUAAUACAAUGGAUAAAGUGAAAGUUUUUGAGGCACACACAGAUUACAUCAGGUGUGUAGCUGUCCACCCAACCCUUCCAUAUGUGUUGUCGUCAUCUGAUGACAUGUUGAUAAAGCUCUGGGAUUGGGAGAAAGGUUGGAUGUGUACUCAGAUUUUUGAAGGACACACACACUAUGUGAUGCAAGUGACCUUCAACCCAAAAGACACUAAUACUUUUGCAAGUGCUUCUCUGGAUCGCACAAUAAAGAUCUGGAAUCUUGGUUCUCCCGAUCCGAACUUCACCUUAGAUGCACAUUUUAAGGGAGUGAAUUGUGUAGAUUACUUUACAGGUGGUGAUAGGCCAUAUUUAAUCACUGGUUCUGAUGAUCAUACUGCCAAGGUCUGGGAUUACCAAACGAAGAGCUGUGUUCAAACUCUUGAGGGCCAUACGCACAAUGUUUCGACUGUCUGUUUCCAUCCUGAGCUUCCUAUAAUCAUUACAGGCUCAGAGGAUGGAACUGUUCGAAUAUGGCAUGCAACAACAUAUAGGCUUGAGAACACGCUAAAUUACGGUCUUGAACGAGUUUGGGCUGUGGGAUACUCGAGAGGUUCAAGGAGAGUGGUAAUUGGAUAUGAUGAAGGAACCAUAAUGAUAAAACUUGGUCGUGAAGUUCCAGUAGCUAGUAUGGACAGCAGUGGUAAGAUCAUAUGGGCAAAACAUAACGAAAUUCAAACUGUCAAUAUUAAGACAGUCGGAGCAGACUAUGAGGUUACAGAUGGAGAAAGAUUGCCUUUGGCUGUGAAGGAGCUGGGGAGCUGUGACCUCUAUCCACAAAGCUUAAAGCAUAACCGUAAUGGUAGAUUUGUGGUUGUUUGUGGAGAUGGUGAAUACAUUAUUUACACAGCGCUGGCAUGGAGAAACAGAUCUUUUGGCUCCGCUCUCGAGGUUGUGUGGUCAUCUGAGGGUGAAUAUGCGGUCAGAGAAAGCACAUCAAGAAUAAAAAUUUUCAGCAAAAACUUUCAGGAGAAGAGAAGUAUAAGACCCACCUUUUCUGCUGAGCGUAUCUUUGGAGGAGCUUUACUUGCAAUGUGCUCGAAUGACUUCAUUUGCUUUUAUGACUGGGCUGAAUGCAGAUUGAUACGGCGCAUUGAUGUUAAUGUGAAAAAUCUCUAUUGGGCUGAUAGUGGUGACCUACUUACUAUUGCAAGUGACUCAUCAUUCUACAUUUUAAAGUAUAACGGUGACAUUGUUUCUUCUUAUCUAGAAAGUGGAAACUCAGGUGAUGAACAAGGUGUUGAGGAUGCUUUUGAAAUGCUUCAUGAAAUAAAUGAGCGUGUGCGAACUGGAAUCUGGGUUGGGGACUGUUUCAUUUACAAUAACGCUUCCGGGAGACUGAAUUAUUGUGUCGGUGGAGAGGUUACCACCAUGUUCCACCUGGACCGGCCAAUGUACUUGUUGGGAUAUCUUGCUAGUCAGAGCAGGGUGUAUCUCAUUGACAAGGAGUUCAAUGUUAUGGGUUACACUUUACUACUUAGUUUGAUUGAGUAUAAAACUCUAGUGAUGCGUGGGGAUCUGGAUCGUGCAAGUGAUGUUUUACAGUCAAUUCCUAAGGAGCAUCACAACAGUGUGGCCCGUUUCUUAGAAUCUCGAGGCAUGCCCGAUGAUGCUUUGAAAGUGGCGACGGAUCCUAAUUACAAAUUUGAUCUUGCUGUACAGCUUGAGCGAUUGGAUAUAGCUAAGGAGAUAGCUGUGGAGGUCCAAAGCGAAUCAAAAUGGAAGCAGCUAGGGAAGCUUGCAAUGUCCACAGGAAAGUUAGAUAUGGCUGAGGAAUGCUUAUCACAAGCAAUGGAUCUGAGUGGUUUGUUACUUAUUUAUUCUGCUCUCGGUGAUGCCGAAGGAAUUGCUAAACUUGCAUCUCUUGCUAAAGAACAAGGGAAGAACAAUGUGGCUUUCCUUUGUUUAUUUUUGUUAGGAAAAUUGGAGGACUGCCUUCAAUUGUUGGUUGAUAGCAACCGUAUUCCAGAAGCUGCCUUGAUGGCGCGUUCUUAUCUUCCAAGCAAAGUCUCAGAGAUCGUUGCAAUUUGGAAGAAAGAUCUCAUUAAGGUCAAUCCAAAGGCUGCAGAGUCCUUGGCUGAUCCUGAAGAAUACUCAAACUUAUUUGAGGACUGGCAGGUUGCUCUUGCUGUAGAGUCUAAUACCACCCAAAACAGAGGUAGCUAUCUGCCUGCUGAGGAAUACCCGAUACACGCUGAAAAGUUAAAUGUGAAUCUUGUGGAAGCAUUCAAAAAUAUGCAAGUGGAUGAAGCAGGCUUCCCUCUUGAAAAUGGAGAUUUGGGUCAUGAGGCAUGCUUUCAGGUGUCAGAUGAAAUAGGAGAAGAGGAUGGCCAAGAAGCUGUUGAAGUGGUCGCUAAUGAGUCUACAGACGGUGACGUCCUUGUCAACGGAAAUAAUGGUGACGAAGAGUAUGGUACGAAUACUGAAGGAAAUCCCUCAGCCUAAGGCAUUUGGUUGGCCAACUGUAAAAAUCCAAGUUUUUUUCUCGGUCCUUACUCCCCGAGGUUAGGGACCUUAUGUGUUCACUAUCAGUGUUAGAGGCAGACAUAUUUCUGAAGGUUUUGCUAAAUUGACACACACUAGGAGGCGAUUGUUCUCAGUCAGUGUUUAGUGUCUCACUGUUGAUUCUGUGUAUUUCUCAAAGCUGCUGCUUCAUGUACCGUUGAAAUGCUAGAGAAAGUGUAUGAUUGAAAUACUAGCGAAAUAGGGAGGUAGAAAAGGUUGUGCUUAAAGCAUAACUGCAUUCUUUUAUUUUUAUCACAUUCUUUUCUUUUGUAACUCUCACUUUCCCUUGCCUUCGCCAUAAGUAUAAGUUUGAAGAGAUUGUAUGUAAUUGAGUGUCAAAGUACCGGGUUUGAGCUGCCUAUUAACAAUAAGAUGGCCUCCUCUUGAGCUGCAGGCAAGGUGUCUUUUGUCUUUGUAGUAGGGAUAAAUAGUAGCAUACAUGCUUUACUUCCAAUAUUAUGAGGUUGUGAAUGAAUGUCUCACAAUGUUUCAUGCUUCAUCGUCAGUUAGUCUCUACCUUGUGAUUCUCUGAUUGCUAGAUGAAGUAUGUUUAUGAUUGUAAAGUUUA